rnacentral:rRNA from 1 species
GUGAACGCUGGCGGUAGGCCUAACACAUGCAAGUCGAACGGCAGCACAGUAAGAGCUUGCCCUUACGGGUGGCGAGUGGCGGACGGGUGAGGAAUACAUCGGAAUCUACUUUUUCGUGGGGGAUAACGUAGGGAAACUUACGCUAAUACCGCAUACGAACUACGGGUGAAAGCAGGGGAUCUUCGGACCUUGCGCGAUUGAAUGAGCCGAUGUCGGAUUAGCUAGUUGGCGGGGUAAAGGCCCACCAAGGCGACGAUCCGUAGCUGGUCUGAGAGGAUGAACAGCCACACUGGAACUGAGACACGGUCCAGACUCCUACGGGAGGCAGCAGUGGGGAAUAUUGGACAAUGGGCGCAAGCCUGAUCCAGCCAUACCGCGUGGGUGAAGAAGGCCUUCGGGUUGUAAAGCCCUUUUGUUGGGAAAGAAAAGCAGCAGGUUAAUACCCCGCUGUUCUGACGGUACCCAAAGAAUAAGCACCGGCUAACUUCGUG